rnacentral:rRNA from 1 species
AUUAGCUUGCUAAUCUGCUGACGAGUGGCGGACGGGUGAGUAAUGCUUGGGAAUCUGGCUUAUGGAGGGGGAUAACUACGGGAAACUGUAGCUAAUACCGCGUAAUAUCGAGAGAUUAAAGGGUGGGACUUUCGGGCCACCUGCCAUAAGAUGAGCCCAAGUGGGAUUAGGUAGUUGGUUAGGUAAAGGCUGACCAAGCCGACGAUCUCUAGCUGGUCUGAGAGGAUGACCAGCCACACUGGAACUGAGACACGGUCCAGACUCCUACGGGAGGCAGCAGUGGGGAAUAUUGCACAAUGGGGGGAACCCUGAUGCAGCCAUGCCGCGUGAAUGAAGAAGGCCUUCGGGUUGUAAAGUUCUUUCGGUAGCGAGGAAGGCUUGAUGUUUAAUAGACAUUGAGAUUGACGUUAACUACAGAAGAAGCACCGGCUAACUCCGUGCCAGCAGCCGCGGUAAUACGGGGGGUGCGAGCGUUAAUCGGAAUAACUGGGCGUAAAGGGCACGCAGGCGGUGACUUAAGUGAGAUGUGAAAGCCCCGAGCUUAACUUGGGAAUUGCAUUUCAUACUGGGUCGCUAGAGUACUUUAGGGAGGGGUAGAAUUCCACGUGUAGCGGUGAAAUGCGUAGAGAUGUGGAGGAAUACCGAAGGCGAAGGCAGCCCCUUGGGAAUGUACUGACGCUCAUGUGCGAAAGCGUGGGGAGCAAACAGGAUUAGAUACCCUGGUAGUCCACGCUGUAAACGAUGUCGAUUUGGGGGGUUGGGCUUUAAGCUUGGCGCCCGUAGCUAACGUGAUAAAUCGACCGCCUGGGGAGUACGGCCGCAAGGUUAAAACUCAAAUGAAUUGACGGGGGCCCGCACAAGCGGUGGAGCAUGUGGUUUAAUUCGAUGCAACGCGAAGAAC